rnacentral:lncRNA from 14 species
CAGCGGGGCACCGGCGCGGUGUGGGAUCAGCACUGGGGAAGCGCUGUGCGCACAGGCACACCCACAGAGCUGCGCCGGGGCUGUGAGCUGUGUCCCACGCCUCUUCCCUGCCUCAGCCGGGAUGUGUCCAGUGUCACCGAGUCAGGAUCAGAGGCAGGACCUGAUCCCCCGCCUGCAGGCAGCUGGCUGAGAUAGGUAAUGGCUGUGCGGUAGAUACCUGUGCUCCUGCCACGGGUGCUGGGAGAGAUCUAUGCGUAUCUUGAGUUCUGAGCUUCGUGUGUAUGUGCAAGGCUGAGCUGAGCUGGAGUUACCCCUCUGGCAGCUUUAAUCCCAGGAGCACCACACCUCCAGCAGCUGGUACAUGCGACCUCACAGAACAUCCUGUUGGCUGGGAGUAGCAGAGCUCUUACAGUUGAGCCCAGACCACAGUCCUGUGGGAGAAGAGCAGGGAUCCCUUUGUAGGUCUGUUCUCCAUCCAUUCUCGUCAGUAUGUCAAAGGAGCUGUGUGCAAAAACAGUUGGCAUCCAAGGAUUGCUUUGGUCCAUGGUGCUUUUCAUUUGAAAUCAAAUGAAAAAAGGUAAAGUUUGUGAUACUUGGCUGAUACUUUUGCUUUCUGCCUCUUUGUUUCU